UACAGAGGGUGCGAGCGUUAAUCGGAAUUACUGGGCGUAAAGCGUGCGUAGACGGUUGCAUAAGUCGGAUGUGAAAUCCCCGGGCUCAACCUGGGGAUUGCAUUCGAGACUGUGUAGCUGGGGUGCGGAAGAGGGAAGCGGAAUUCCUGGUGUAGCGGUGAAAUGCGUAGAUAUCAGGAGGAACACCUGUGGUGUAGACAGCUUACUGGACCACUUCUGACGCUGAGACACGAAAGCGUGGGUAGCAAACAGG
rnacentral:rRNA from 1 species